CCGCGUACUCACGCUGUCUCCAGCGACAAGAUGAUGAGACGCGCUCGCGCCCCCACCCGGCAUGCAAACAUUGUCUCCGACGACAAGAAGGUGAGCCGUGAUCGCGCCCCCACCCUGCAUGCAAACCGUGUCUCCGAUGACAAGAUGGUGAGCCGCACUCGCUUCCCCCUCUCCUACUAGUGAUUUGGAGUUAACCGGUGCCUAAUGAUUUGAAGUUACUGACAAUCUUUAAUCCAGUCAUGUGAAUUGUACUAGUGCUUACUGAAUUACAUGAUGUGUAUGUGCAUGAACUACGUGGUGUGUACAUGUCCUUGGAUUUUCUAAGCAUUGCGGUCUCAUCUGGCAGAUGGACAAGAACGAGAUGGUGCCGGUCCAGGGGGUGUCGCGCAUGCGGGGGAGCAUCGCGUCGUCAAGUGUGGUUGGUAAGUAUACUUUAUGCUGCUUUUUAUUGUCAACAUCGUCUCCAUGCAGGCUACACUGGCAAACAAGCUGCUUAACUCUUGUGCAUGCUGGUUUUUUGUCAUCACUAGUAUACUGGUACUGGACUGGAGCUUGUUAGCUCUGUCCAUGCUGGGCCUUUUUGUCAUCAUUAGUAUUGUUAUAUAUUAGCUGAAGCUGCACAUGUUUUCUUUCCAUUGACGUUGGUGCGGGCGGUGCUACGCGUCAGUCGGCUGAUGGAUGGACGCCUUACUCACCUGAUUUUAAUCAAGUCCCACCUAGGUGUAGUUUGUUUUGUCACUAGCUGUGUAUACAUAGGCGAGCUCCAGCACUGCGUUGCAGCGUGGAAAACAUAUGAACUGUAAUAAGAAACAUGCAGUGGCUAGAAACAUCUCCACAUAUUUUUUCCAACACGUUUUAGGUGUCAACGAAAUUAGUCGGAUCGCCAGCCAUCGAAUUGACACAUGGAGCAUUGGAUCACAAUACACGGCAGCAGAGAGAAUGGAAACCGUGUUUGUCCAUUGCCUCCACAAUACAUAUGUAUCCACCACCCCUCCUACAUCGUCGCAACAGACAAUUACGUCGGCCCCUUCCGACACCUCGCUUUGGUACCCUAGAGACCCUGAUGUCGCUUGGAUAUCCUGCAAGUAUUAUUACAGUGCGCCAACAAGGCGUCGUCCUUGCAACAUUGUCUUACAGACAAUGUAGUUGAUGCCACCACCACCAUCACCCAUUUACACAUGGGCCGUCGCAUGUGGCACUGUUCGUGGGAUAAAACACACCCCGCGAGAAUACGUGGUUGCACCACUGCGAUCUAUGCACCUUAGGAAUUGUUUUGACUGCCCCUGCAAAACUAGCGAUGAUACGGCCAUCGCCCUGCAACAUUGGCCAUAGUUGUAGCACAUCUGAGAAGACGGAUGCCGCACCUAACAACACAGUAUGUGUUUUUUGCACCAUAAGAAAGCACUGCCUUGCAACGUCGGCUAUCAGGGUGCUGCACUGACAAACACACUCACGACCUUGAGACGUCGUAUGCCUUGGCCGAUGUAGCAUAGUGCUCCUCUUUCAGCACAUAGCGAUGGCUUGUAGCAUUGAUGGUCGGAGAGUCGCUGCAUCGUUGAGUGGCAGUGCUAGCCAAACUCAUUGUCAUAGAGAAGGGGGAAUAAAGGAUGGGUGUGCACGUGGUGGAAAUAAAGCGAAUGGAUAUGGUGAAGAGAGAGGAUGACUAACAAGGGGCAUCUGGCGCUAGAGCGAGCUGACUGAUUUCCCCCUAAAACCAGCCUGUUGAAUAUAAUUCAAUUUUCUUUUGAGAGACCUCAUAAAAACGUCGCAACAUGCGAGCAUGUCUAUACAAAAAAUUGUAGAUAUACAACACAUACUCAUUAGCUGCAACAAAUCAGUGAAAAACACAAUGUAUAUAGGCCUGAACCGAUGGAUCAUCAGCAUGCAUCUGCCAGCUCUUCCUAGGUUACGCCCAACCGUGAGUCGUUCAAUUGGGUCACACAUCACUACCCAAUCAACCACCAACUUAGUUGUUCCUCUCGUCUCCUCUACCCACCCUUGGCAACAUACACCCAUGAUUCUCAGCAAUAGACCAACAUGGAGGCGACAAUGGUGGCCAUGAUAGGCUAGUGAAAAGCACACUGGUUGGUCAACCUUACAACACUAAACAGAAACAUUGCAACAUGAGGUAACCCCAACUUUGUAGCACUGGUGCACCAUUUUCAACCACCUUGUAGCAAUGAAAAGUUCACUGACCAAUAGCAUUACUGCACCAAGUUACCGGCUUCCAGCACUGAACACCCGGGCUUGUAGCACCGCGAUGAUCGAUGGUCGGCCUUUCAACAGUAUUAGUUAACAUUGCACACCUCGUCUCCAUUUUUAUGUACAUACGCAUGAGUGACCUUGGAACAUCAGUAACGUGUCAACAUUAUCAAACUUGAAGACGAUAAAUUUGUUUCUCCAAGCAUCGACAUUACUGAAUAAGCGUGCAACUGCACAUCCACCACAUGAGCCAUAAUUUUUUAGCCCUGCGACAACAGCUUAUAGUUGCAAAAGAGCUGACGAUGAUGGUUUAGAAUGUAUAUGAUCAAAACAGAUUAAAUGGAGGGGAGGGUGGACUACCUAUGUUGAAUCAGACUAGCCGCAAGGUCACAAGUGCCUUGUCUAAAUAGCCAAAAAGACAAAAGGAGGCCUCCUGGAUUCUCCAUCCCGAAGCUAAGCAUAACUCCAACUCCAGACACGCUAGGGGGCUACUAAAGGUGCAAUACGGUAGGGGUGUCUUCUGGGUGGGAAGCCUGGUAGCAGGCCUACCUUAGGGCCCAAGAGGCCAAGUGGAGGAUCGGUGCAGUAGGGCAGCUCAGGAGCCCAGAUAAGGACUGUGAGAGCAUCUUGGCAUGCAAGCUAAGAUGGCAGUGGUAUGAGAUCUGAUGGAUUCCUUGUAAACCUAGCCCUUGCCACCUAUAUAAGGAGGGGCUCGGGGUUGUCAUUCACAUAUACUCUCAUAGACUAUACUCUUUGUAGCAUUAUACUUCAUCUCCACUCUAAACCCCUCGCACAAGGUGCUCCGCCAUGAAUAAAAAUCAGAUACAGGAAGUUGGGCAUUACCUCUCACCGAGGGCCCGAACCAAGGUAAAAACCUUUGUGUGAACUCCCUUGUCAUGGAUCCCUACAAGUUCACCACCCUACUAUGGGUACUCACAUUUUUACAUACUGUCACAUAGUUAAGUUCUGACACAUUUUCUCUGGGGAGUUGAAACAACUCAUGGUGUAAGUAGGUGUUGCUUGAAGCACUGAUUCUACUAGCACCUCCUUUCCAGCCUUCGAGAUACCUUGUCCUUCCUAUCCAACCACUUUGCCAUUUGAGCUUUCUUUAAGAUGUUUAAAAUUUCCCUCCUUUGACCUACCCACCACGGUUGGAAGCCCCAAAUAAUGCUCGCUCAAUGCCUUAGGAUCUGUGCAAAGAUAUUUACAACAACUUAGUCCUCCUAUUUGCCUCACUUCCCAAAGAAUGUUGAGGCUUUUUGAAAAUUUACCAUUUGUCCCGAGGCCCACUCGUAGUCAAUGAGGAUAUAUUUAAGGUUACAAAGUUGCCAUUUGACGGUUGAAGAAAUACUAUACUAUCAUCUGCAGAAAUAAGAUGGGCUACAUGGGGGUUAGUGCUCCCAAAAGAUAUACCAUUGAUCUCUUUAUCUUUGAGCACUCAUGAGAAAGGCCAAAAAACUCGCAACAUAGAAAAAAAAUAGGGAGACCUCUUCAUAGUAUAAAAAAAAUAGGGAGCCCUCUUCAUAGUAUAAAAAAAAUACAAAACACACUCCUUUCAAUUUGAUCGAAAACCUGGCCGGGGUACCACACAUCAUAAUCAUCAAGAUCAACCUAUCUGAGAAACCAAGUGCCCUCAUCAUCAGAUCGAGGAAAAUCUAAACCAACCUCUUAUAGGCCUUCAUCCUGUAUAGUUUAAUUGCCAACAUUGGAUUUUUUCUAUUUCUUGAAUGUACUUUGCUCCUUCGUGAUCAUAAUGGAUAGGACAACCUUCAAUCUCUUUGCUAGGCCUUUGAAGCAAUCUGACUAAGCGUGUUCAAUAAGUUGAUUGAUCCCAUUUGAGGAAGUAUCUCCAUUUAGGUAAUUUUGGGGAUUAGGACUAGAACCAUAUCACUAAAGUUUGGUGAAAUAACUCCAUUAAAAGAAUCAUCUAUUACUAUGCGUACAUCAUUUUUUAGAAAUAACUAGUGAAAUUGGUAAACAUGAGUGAGAGGUUGUCUAGCCCCUGCGCUCCAGUCAAAUUUAGAAUAGUGCAUUCUCAAUUUCUUCAUCCAUCACGUCUGUGUUCACCCUCUCCUCCAUAUCACUAGUCACACAGGGUCGGAAGUGAGCUAAGAUGUUGUCAGCAUCAGCAGAGGCUUCUGAAGAAAACAACUAAGCAUAGAAAUCGGCCGAAAUCUUCCACAUCUCAUUGUCAGUAGUACAACUCGUGCCAUCCGCCCUCAUGUUUUGAUCGUCUUUCUUGAGAAAUUCCACUCGAGAACAUUGCAUACACAUUAUUUGUUCCUGUGCACGAACCACAUGAAGCUAGGCUUCAAUCUCGCUGGUCUUCACCGAGGAUGUCUGGAUCCCAAUGAUCUACCCUUUCCAUCGAAGCUGGAACUUGUGCCUAGUUAUCUCACAACAUACAAGACAAAAUACAGAGCCACUUCAAUAUUUCAUAUCAUUGGUGACAUUGUUAUGCUUCAUGUAGAGCUCACUCUGGCCGGAAUUGUUAUCACAUGCACACCAUCAUGCCUCCAUGGGCAUCCACCUCUCCUCAAACGUUAAUGCCUUGUUCUUACUUUUGGUAAUGACUAGGUUUUCUAGCGCUCUAUUAACGAGCAAACCAUGGUCUCGUCCUCCAUGACAACAUGUUCAAUGGUUGUAUCCUACAAUGAAUGCACGACUUCAUCAUUGCAUGGACCCCUGUCCACAUGUACAUAAAGCAUCUCAUCUCGCUCCCUCUUAUUGUCCCAAGUGUACAGGUUGCUACUAAAACAAAGUUUUGAAACGCUAUUAUUGGCUACACUCUCCCUAAUGCGUUCCAUUUGUGUGAAACUCCUCAAGUAAUCUCCUAGUUGUUGUGAUUAAAAGAAUUCUUUGUUGAGCUAUCAUUGUAAUAGAUAAAUGUAUUAUUAGGAUCCAGUUUCUCGGAGCCUCCCUUAGCUACACAAAUUUUCUUCAAUCUCUCUUCCUAUCAAGUAGCUUUAGGUUAUAAUCAUUGUGAUGCCUUUGGUAGUCACCAUCACCUUGCCUCGUAUUAUGAACAAAAGUGCCUCAUCUGCGUUGCUCUGAGGUAGAUGGUCAUCUUUCCCAAUGGCCUUGCACCCUUUCCCAUAUAUAUUUUUUAUGUCUUGCUUCCUUUCAUGCUCCUUUCUCAUGUCCCACUUCCUUUUUAGAUUUAAAUCAUCCCUUAGUUCACAAUCAUGUCACAGAUCUUGCCUGCAUUGGUCCUCCCUGCACUUCAUCUUAGACAGUGACCCUCUACAAGACCAUCUCGAGGAUCCUCGUAGAGAGAGAGAGAGUCCACAGAGGGUGUAUAAUCAUUGUAUGACCUGCACGUAAAUGGACGCACAUGCAACGCUACAUGACCCAUCGCCCAUAGACGCCCUUGCUUGACCUAGUGCUCCCAAAACUAAAGUUCCUCCUUUCUUUCACCAGCCUCUACUUUGUUUUUGUCUGUGAGGAGCCACGUCCAAGUUAUGCCCUCAACCAUUCACCCAACUGGGGUGAGGAAUCAUUUUGUGGUUCAAAUCAUCCGUCAACAUGUGCUAGUCUGUCGUAGUCAAUCCAAAAGAGAGGUAUCUUCUCAAAUUGAAAAUCAAACAAGGUCCCCUCAUCUUUUGCUGAAGAGUGGAGAAAGAAGCCUUAGACUAGUGAAAGAAAUAUGAAAAUUCUAGCUCUUGAUCUGAGAUGGUUCCCCCAUAAAUCCAUCCUUCUUAACAUCACUCUUUACCACGCCACGAAGACAAUUCCCAAGAGCAUUCCCAAAAGUAUAUGAUCAUUUAUAUAGGGGAGGAUCUGUAAUUAUCACCCAUGGCUCCGUCAUACAAAACAUUAUCUUUGAUGACCUAGUUUUUUCAUCAUAAUCCUUCAAAAGUAUCACAUUAAAACCAAAUUGCCACAUUCAAUUAUAUAGAGCGUGCUUUUAGACUCCUUUGUUAUGGAAUCUAAAGAAGAAGAUAUUAUUUCUAAUGUGACUUAUUUGGGCUUCCUAGUAUAGUCCCAUGUAUGUUGCAUAGCCCUAGCAAACACGUUGAUGUUGAUUUGCUGGAGUGAGCAUGCCUUUCCAACCACUGACCACCAAGUAGGCCUCGGUCGGUCUGGAAUCCUGAUCCUCAAACAUGAGAUCUAUUAGUUCCUUUUGUUGUCAAGUUCAGGGCUCCUUGUUAAUUUGGUUGAGAGUUUAGCUGCCUCCCCUGAAGCAUUUCCAUCUGUCAGGGACUUUUGAAGGUUCUCAUCUUAACGAUCCUUGGUCGCCAUGUUCACUUGAGCUGUCGAUUUACGCCACGCCUUCUCUCCCAUCACCGCGAAAAGGAGUGGAAGCACCAAGACCAGUGAAUGUAGGAGUUUACAGUGUCAUCACCUCAUAGAUGAAUAAAAACCUAACCCUAGCACUACUUGUCGGUCGCCUAUAAUCACCCUUAGCAUUUCUUUUCAUGUUGGGCCUGCCACUAGGUAUUUAUACGUGUGCUUCCAUUGGUACUUUUUUUUCGCUGGAGCAUUUCUGCUACAUUUGCCUUUCUACAAAGGCGGUCUCAUCCAAAUCAUAUAGUCUCCUCUAUCUAUAGGAAGCGAGGACAUUAGCUCUUCUUUUUUUCAAGGCAAAUACACUUGCUACUGUUCAAGCGACAUCUAAAGAAGUCUUGUCACAUGUGAAGACGACGCUAAGAGUGUGACACAUAUAGGUGCCAACUUGAAGAAUAAUGCAAAUUUCAGUAAAUAUGAAUAGCUCCAGGGGAACGAGCGCACAAAGGAAUCAGCCACCAUAAAUGGAUCAUUUCCAAAGAAACAAAGUCACAAAGAGAGAGACAAGACAUUAGCUUCUUUAUGGGGAACACAUACAUUUAAAUGUUGCCUUGCUCUCUGAUUAUUAACAAGAAAUAAUUUUUACUAAUAUAUUAUGUGUAAAUCUUGAUAGAUAUGGAAUGUAUUUUGGUCAGUAUGUUUUAAGGAAUCAUAUUAGUUUUUGGUAUGUUGAAAUUAGAAGAAGUUCAUGUGCCUUCAAGGCAUGUCAAGGUGUGUUGUUCCACCUCAAAAUUGGUACAUACUAAAUGGUUAUUCUCCCUACAUAUAGUCCCAAUUCUCAUGCUCUCUCUCUCUAUCUAUCUAUCUAUCUAUCUAUCUAUCUAUCUCUCUACAUUUUAUAUUCCAGACUACUCCAUAAAGCCUAACUGGUGAAGGUCCAGAAACACCCAGCAGUGAUGGGUUCAACUCCCAUUAGUAGUCUAUACUUAGUGGAGGAGAAAAAAGCCAAGCCCGGCAAUGGUGAAUAAAUCAGAAAAGAAAAUAAGGCCAUGCCCAGUCCAAAUCCGGCACCUGCCAACAAUGUGUAGUCUCCACUACUCGAACCUACUUUUCCUCAGUGUGUUACAUCAUGUGAUGUUUGGAGAAGCCAUAGAGUUGGGGAUCCGAAUAUAGAAAACAACAAUGGGGAGUGGCUUGAAGAAUAGGAGCCAAGAAGCCGGACGGACAAGGCCUCCGCCAUGCUGUACCAUUGGCCGAUACUGACCCGUAUGGUGCAAGGACCGAGGCAGAACUGAACACCGUCAUCAUCUAGGUUGCAAAGGAAGUUGGACCACUGUGUUUCUUCUCUCGGACAAACUCAAUGAUUUCAUGCAGUUGGCACCCACGCCACAUUCCACAGAGAUAACAACAUUGAGGAGGAGGAGGAGGAGGGGCAACGCAAGGUUUCUUCCUCAUAGGAAUUACUUUCGAGGAAGUGGGGGACGGUAUGGCAUGAUGAGCAGUUAACAAGGGAAGUUUGCAUGACUGUGGAGGACAAAUCAUGAAGACAAGUGUGCUAGUAGCUAUAUAAGGGAUGAAUGAUAGCAGGAAGGAAUAAUGAGCUUACUGGGUGAGGCUACUAUUUUUUAAGUUGCGACCUACUGAUCAUAACAACAAUUGAUCGUAACAACGUACCAUUGAUGAUAUAGGGUAUUGAUUUAGUAACUGUCACGAUGUGACUAGGGCUUGUAAGCGGUGGGUUGUAUAUUACUAACAAGUAGCAUGUUUAGCCUCAAUAUUGUCCUCUGUCACUCGUAACAUCGUACCAUUGACGGACCCCGUCACUACUACCUUUUUCCAACAAAAAUAGAAUUUUAGUUAUAGUAAGAUUCACAACAAUCCCGCCGGCCAUUAGUGCUAAGUUGCACUGCUGACCGGUUUUUUGACCCACCACUUUUGAUCGAUAACUAGGCGAGACCUCUAGUCUGGUGCACAUUUCUUUUGUUCAGAAUUUUUAGUGUUUUUAUGUGUACAAAGACAUAUAUUUCAACCCUAACAGGUUCUCUUUAGGUGGGGUCGAGAGUGAAGGACUGGGGAGCUUGGAAGCAGGGGAAAUGGCACCUCAAGGGGUUCAGGUCUCUAUGAUCAAUAACCACAAUUUUGAUCUGAAUGAGCUGCCGACUGAGCAUGAGUAGCUCAAGAAGGAGUAGUCACCUCUGGAGCAAGAGUAUCCGCCUAUGGCACAACAUGAGAUUUAAUAUUCACAAUGGUUGGAGGCUACUCAAAUCCCUCUUGUGUGAGCAAAGUUAACUCUUGGCCCAAAGUGUAGCCCUGUCAGAAAUUAUCGAAACAAUAUCCUUAUCCCAAGGACGAUUGUAAAGCUUAUGUGGAACUUUUGAAUUUCUCACUUCCUAUUUUUUGUUGAUUGACUGACGCUAUUGCUAAACUUGAGGGAAGGACCUUGUAUACUGCUUCAUGAUCAACGUGUCAACUGGAAAUGGCUUUUCUAUUCAUUUCCCAUGAUGGUUUUGAUAUGUGGAUUGUUUGAACAAGCAGGUGUUCAUUCGGUAAAGCUUUGUGAAACAUCAACGGUGGAGCUAGGUCUCUGGUCAUGUGAAAUGAUAGUAGGUCAAGAAGUGUGUUGGAUCAUGAGAUAACAUAUUUUCUAAGUUGUUAAUCAUGUGUGUUAACACCAUGGGUAGUAUGAGAGAAGGUCAACAUGCAUGUUUGGGUCUGAAAUGACCUCAUGACCAAAAAAGGGAGAGAAACAUGGCUAAUAGGAAUACGAACGAUAUGGAAGUUACUUGUUGCAUGGAUGUUAACUGUGGUUAUGAAGCCACACAAGAUGUCAGAGGACCCGCAUCCUUACAUAUCAAGGUUGACUUCACAUGCCAACUGGAUUUCGUCUAAAUUAUUGUAUAUGUAUGUAUGUUAUAUCUUGAAAUCUUACCAAACAAAAAACACCAAAAAAUACACUAUUUACUUCUCUUUGAUGCAUACUCUAGUUGGAGGGUAAUCAAAAGCUUAUGUGGAUAUUUGUCCAUAAUAGAAUAUACAAUGGUCUAGUGAGGCAAGGUGUAAAUGGACAGGACAAUAGUCGAACAUGAAAACAUCCAACAUUGUGUUAUAGUUGCAUCAAGUUGUCUAGUGAGUUAAUAUGGAAAUGGAGGAGGCUCAUAGGGCAACACGAGAACACCCAACAUGUAGCUCUACUUACUUCCUAUUGGUACGAAGAGACCGAGACUAGUGAACGGUUAACCAUAACACAUGGACAAGAUAUCUCAUACAAGAUGAAAAUGGAGUGAGUCUUGUAUGAAAAUGAUAACAAAGUAUGAGUGUGCAUAGCAUGCCAUCCCACAUACAUCAACUAUCCUACAUGUGAAUCAAAUCCACAUCCUACAUGGGCAUUGGGCUUUAGUUGGACUACCACUUUAUGGACAAGCCAUGUGCUCCAUGUAGUCUAUAUUGCAAAGGCGGGAGGACAGGGAGCAAAUAGUUUUCGAUGGCUGGACAUUGAAGUUAUUUGUCAAGAAAUUUGUUUCCUGACAUGGUUUGUUUAUUUCAUUGUUUAGUAUUCGAUAUCGGUUCAAUGCUCUAGUAUGUAACCUUCUUCUCACAUUUUGGGUCUAGCUCUUGGUGUUCAUGAGUUCAUUACUUAUGUUAACUAUUAUUGUUGUGCCUACUUGUUCAUAAGAGACUAUAAAAAUAACUAAGAUACUCCCGUAUUUAUAUUAAUAUAGUUGGCACUAAGGUAAUCAUCAACAUUGAAUAUUGCUCAUAUUUGUCAAAUAGGAGGUCAAGCUGGAUCUGUCUGGCGCAUCAUCUAUGGUCACAUAUGGUGUAUUGUCUAUUCUAAACCCAAUGAGUAUUGCAGAAUGACAUGUGCCUGCGGGGAGGAAUGAGUCACUGUUUUGGGUCAAGGGGUGAUGCCAUGCCUCAUAAUUGACAAUAAAAAAUUAACCACCUACAUAAAAAGUCUAACCCAAGACAGGGAAUAUGCGCCAUUGCAAUUUUACUGCACAAAGUCAUCGGUAUUUUGCAAUUGAAUGUUCCCCAUGUUGUGACUGAGAACACAAAACACAAAACACCCCACAAAACACUAUUCACUUCUCCUCGAUGCAUAUUCUAGUGGAAGGGUAGUCAUAACCAUAUGGGAAUAUUUUACCACAAUAGAAUCUAUAAUGGUCUAGUGAGGCAAGGUGUAAAUGGAGAGGAUAAUAGGCGAACAUGGAAACAACCAACAUUGUGUUGUACUUUCAUCUAGUUGUAUAGUGAGAUAAUAUGGAAACGGAGGAGGCUCAUAGGGCAACAUGAGAACGCCCAACAUGUUGCUCUACUUACUUCCUAUUGUUACCAAGGGACUGAGACUCGAGCAUGGUUAAUCAUAACACAUGGAAAAGAUCUCUCAUACUAGUUGAUAAUAGAAUGAAUCUUGUAUGAUAAUGCUAACAAAGUAUGAGUGUAGAUAACAUGCCAUCUCCUCCCUUUCUUGUUGUAUUUUCCUUCACCAACCCCCAUAGUACCCUGAUCAACACUAUUAAUUCGAUAUGCUUCACAUCUGAGUUAGAAUUGUGAUUGGGAAUAGUUGUAUCAUUAUCUAAGUAGACUUAUUUAAGGGGAAAUAACGGACAUGUCUUAUCUAUUAUAGCCACAUUCCGGAUAGGAAUAAAAAAAGUUGACAUAACAAUAUAAUUUGUUGAGAUUUGAAUCGAAAAUUCAACAUACAUCAACUAUGCUACAUGUAAAUCAAAUCCUCAUCCUACAUCGGCAUUCGGCUUUAUUUGGACUACCACUUUAUGGACAAGCCGUGUGGUCCAUGUGGUCUACGUCACAACGGCCAGAGGACAAGGAGAAAAUAGUUGUCGAUGAUUGGUGAUUGAAGUUAUUUGUCAAGAAAUUUUUUCCCCAACAUGGUUCAUUUAAUUCAUUAUUUAGUAUUUGAUAUAGGUUCUAUGCUCUAAUGUGUAACCUUCUUCUCACGAUUUGGGUCUAGCUGACAGUGGUCAUGAGUUCAUUACUUAUGUUAACUACUAUUGUUGUGUCCACUUGUUCGCAAGAGACUAUAAAGUUAACUUAUAUCCUCCCGUAUUUAUAUUAAUAUAGUUGGUGGUUAGGUAAUCCUUGACCUGGAAUAUUACUCACAUUUUUCAAAUAGGAGGCCAAGCUGGAACUGUCUAGUGCAUCAUCUAUGGUCACAUAUGGUGUAUUGCCUAUUCUAAACCCAAUGAGUACUACAUUAUGGCAUGUGCCUGCAAGGAGGAAUGAGUUACUCUUUUAUGUCAAGGGGAGCGGCAUGCCUAAUAAUUGUCAAUGAAAAAUUAAUAGUCUACAUCAAAAGUCUAACCCAAGAAAGUGAAUAUGUGCCAUUGUAAUUUUACAACACUAAGGGCCUGUUCUGAUCUUGUCCAGCUCCACGCUUCACAAAUUCCUGGAGCAGAUACGAGCCGAAUGAAAUAGCAGCGAGAAGCUAGCUCCAGGAAGCUAGGAUCGACUGCAGUGCAAAAUCAUGAAGCAGACUCGGCCCAGCUCCACCGAUCUGGAAAGCUGAAGUUAGCCCAUAUUACAAGUGAACUGCCAUAGCCAAAUCAUACAAGCCGAACCGGUACGCUCGAUCAGUUUGAUUGCUCCUCGUUCCCUCGCUCGUGCUCCCUCACUGCUCCUCUACAAGGCCGAUUUGGGUUGCCUCCAGUCAGCCCAACUAGCUCGAACAAGCCACAACCCUUCUAGUUGGGUUGCAGUGCCGCGAGAAGCUACAAACCGAGCAUAACAGAUUUUUCAUCGCUGCUUGGAGUGAGAAGCUACUCUGAAAAGUUGAAUUUCUUAAGUUUUGGGAAGCUAGAGGAGAUCAUAACAGGCCCUAAGUCAUCGGUAUUUCAUAAUUGAAUAUUCUCCAUGUCGUGACUUUUGAUGGUGUAAACCCAAAUAAUCGCCAUUGUGAAAUUAAAUUCCUCUCGUGAGUCGAACCCACAUCCAUAAAGAUGUGCCACUAAAAUCCACCUCCAGGCUAUCUUGGAGUCCUUAAUAUAAUCAAGUGUGCCCAAUAUGGUGACUUAAUAUGUAUUUAUUGACCCUACGAAGCUAAUCACCUCCAUCAAGACCCAUUCCUGGUUCUCCUAUAACUAGAUUCCCCGAAACCACGAGAAUCCUUAGAAUGGGAUUACAACUUAGCACCUUUCGUUUUCACAUAGUAAGAAGAGUUGCUCCUUGGAUAGCACGGUACGAUCAAAGGUGCAACCUGUGUUUCGGAGGGAGUUAUUGUCUCGAAACUUUGUUCUCAGCUAUUCCGAUUCCAUCAAACGGAGGCCAUUGGGUCAAUGCUGUAGUGCACGCCCUGUAGUUUUCAAGUGGGGUGAGACAACUUUAGAUAGGAACCUAUUUUCAUUCUGACCAGCUCCCUGAAAACAAUGUUCGACUUCAUGUGUAGUCGGUGUAGAUGUGUCAUUGCAAUGCCACCACUAGGAUAUCAACAAGUCAUAUGUAUUACAUGACAACAUAUGCCACCAUAUGGUGACUUGAUAAAUUAAAUGGAUUUCACCAAGCUUUCGUGUUACAAUUAUAGUGAAGAUAGUGACUCACAUGUCAGCCUCCCUGAUGGGAAGCAAAAUCACUCUGACUUUGGCAACCUAAUUUUUGGUGGAUUCAAGCAAACAUGUUGGAUUUGUAUUUUAUUUAUUUCAACAUAUAUAAUUCAUAUAAAUAAAUCAAUUCAUAAUAGGUGUCUUAGAGACACCCAUGUCAAUAAUGUGAAAUUAUGGGAAAUCUUAUUGUGUGCAUCAACAUAAGCCAAAACUCGUGGCUUAAGAGAUAUGUGUACAAUCUUCCAAUGGUUAUUCCCCCUACUAAAUUCAUGAUGUUAACUAGUUCCCAGAAGUUGAGAAAGAAGUUUAGUCAUGGGAUCAAUGUCCAGUGCAUCAUAUUUCCAGUUCCCAAAAAAAUUUGUUAUGGAAGUUGAGAAAGAAGUUUGGGCAACAUAUUUCCAGACACCUGUCAUGUCUAGGAUCUUCUCAAGCCUAGGUAAGCUUAGUCAUGGGAUCAAUGCAGGCUAUUAGUACAUUGACCUGGUUCUUAAUUCAAGUCCUCCUUGCUUGAUACAAUAUUGAAUGGAAAGUACAUAAUCAAUUUACUUAAGUGGGUGAACAAUGUUGGCUAGUAUAUUUCAACACUCACCUCACAUGCAUCUUUUAGAGGCAUAUAAUGCAUCGUGAUGGAAACAUUUUUUCUAUAGACUAAAUUCCAAUGGAAAAUUUUAAUUAAUUUAAUUAGUAGCAAUCUCGUAUCGCAAGGAUAUAUGGCAAAUGAAAAUGAGGGCUCAAAUGCUACUUGUUGGCACACAAAAGUCAAGUUGUCUUUUUCCUCCCAUGUUGAUCCUCCGUGGUUCGACAUUGGGCAUUACAAAGAGAUCAAGUUAUCUUUACACACCGCUAGAGCUACCAGACCCUGGAUGUUCCAUCAUGAAUGUCCAUAUGGUGCAAUGAGUGAUAGCGAGGUAUAUUAGAACAUAUAGUUUACACCGUUAAAGUAAUUAAAUGGGCUAUUUUUCCUACUAUGAAAAAUAGUAUUUUAAGAGAAAACUAUAUAAGAGUUUGUGAUCUUUGUAUGUAAAAGCAUUAUUUGCCUUUGCUUGGUGUUCACGCAGUUUGAUUUAUGGCAAAAAUGGAAAAUCAUGGGACAAUAAUUGUUGAUAUUUUUUGCCGGAAAGCCAGAUCUUUUCACUUUUCAGAUCACACAAAGUAUUGUUUUUCUUAUAGGGGUGAUAUACAGUGUUCUAAAUCUGCACUUGUGAUUCGUUGUCCAUUUAAAUCUGGUUUCUUCCACAGAUUAUGUUGGUUUGUUGUUGUAUUUAUCUCAGCACUAAAGUAUACUGAUGUUAGCUAAGUCCAAUCAAAGGCCCGUGUUUUUAUCAUGUUAUACAAAUUAGUAAGCUAAGAUCUUACCAAACUCAAGUUACAUAAGCCCAGACUACGUGAAAUACACAUCAUGCAGUACACAUGUUCAUCUUAGUGUUAUGUUAUACUUGGCUCCGAGAUAACAAAUGGUAUCAAUUAUUACUAUCUUUUGCAGCUUGUUUCUGCCUGUUCAUCGUAGAAUUAUCUUAUGUGGUCUCCCAAGGUUCAUACAACUUGGAUUUUUCAUACUUUGGUAGUAUUAGUGUUCACUAGGACUAGGUGCCACUCUGCAGAACCUGAGGAUACAGAUGGAGAAAGUAGUCAUGGUUUUUUUUUCAAAAAGUUUGUUCAUAUCUAUAAGAGGUUUAUGAUUUUUCAGUGUAUAGUGUUGUGAAACCUAGAGUGUUUUAUCUCAUUUAACAUUGAACUACGCUUUCAAGGAAAAACCUUCAUUUGACAUCGAACUAUGCAUGCAGGGCAAACACCCCGUGCUUCGGUGCCACCGCGCCGCGAACCCUGGGAGCUUGAACCUGGAUGGGUGUGAACUUCAGAUUGAUGUCAAGGUUAGGGGUCAGUCAUGGAUAGAGAAUAAAGGGGACUUUGCAAAACUGUUAUUAAUAAUAUGGAUGAAACAUUGCCUUGUGGAGAGAAUAAGAUAUUUCCAGAGAUAUUUAUAAAUGGAUGCAUACUUGAAAUAGCAGUACAAAAUAUGAUGCUAACAUUUUAUUUUCAUUGUUGUUCCCAUUAAACUUCUGGUGGUGGCUCCAUUAUUCACAGCCUCGCACAUGAAAAUGUUAUUUCGUUCGGGUAAAUGUUGCGUGUCGUUGCUCCUGUAGUUUUGCGGUUUGCAUCUCCUUGAAACUUGUGAGUUGGAUUUUUCGAAGUUGCAAUG
rnacentral:lncRNA from 1 species